UAAGAGAUCGCCCAAGAUUAUCCAGCUGAGUGGCAGAGCUGGAAUUCCAAGUUCUGAUGCCACAGCGCUUUACCACCUGUGUUUCUGUUACCCACUGCUGCCUUCAUCUUGGGAAAGUAAUCUAGUUUAUAGCAGACAGAAUUUACAAGUUCACUGGGAGAAAGAAGUCCACUGCCACCACCCCUCCCCGUCCCCACUCUUGUCUGUGGAGUGACCACAGAGCAGAGGGCUUCUGUCAGUCCCCUGGUGUGAAGCCUGGCAACAUAGGUGAGCUCAAGAGUCCUGGCCCCAGGGCAGUGGGACUGGGUAGGAGCAGCUCUACGUUGAGCAAACUGAGCUCAGCCAAAUCAGGUCCAGGCCACAUGUGACUGAGUCUCCUUUCACUUGUCCUGUGCCCUGAUCAUGUCCUGUCUGGGCUUCUUCCUUUACCCAGCAUUUGCUCAUCAUGGCUUCAGGGUGCCAGAGGAAUGGGAUGUUGCAGAAUCUAUGACCGCCCAGUUCUCAUCUGACAUGGAAAAUACCUUCCUUAGGUUACAUCCAACGGUGUCAUAUACUUGACUUCAGAGAGCCUUUCAGGAACAUGGCCCAAGAGGGCAGUGACAGAAUCAAUAAGCAUCCACAGGAUCUGUCGUGGUGACCUGGACUGGAGGGGUCAGUGAGAGAGGAGACCAUGCCAGGACUGAGCAUUAGCCCAGAAUUCCCAGGCUGCAGGGGCUCUUGGCUCCCACCGAACGCUGGCUGGCCAGCCCACCCAGGAACAGCUGCUGCAGCUGCAGCCACCAGCGCUGCCUCGGGGAGGAGGGAGAGCAUCCCCUUCCUGUGCUCCCCACAAGAAAACACCUGGCCAAGGAGGGGCUGGGAGAAGACCAGAAAGAAUCCUGCAGAACGCUAUCUCUUCCAGACCUUUAGCGGCGGUAGAUUCCACCCAGCAGCCACACGUCCGCCAGCAGACUGCAGGUGUGUCCCCAAAGGACAGCACAGGAGGGGUGAGAGAGCCACAGCCCUGAAUGGAGAAUGAACAAGAAUUUGGGGACUUCCUCUUAAGUGUCAGUCCCAGAAUUUCCCUGGAUGCUAUGUGGGCUGCGUGGUGCUGAAGUGUCCCUUGUGAGUUGAUGGUCAGCCCAGAGGAAGCAAGGCAGGCAGGCGUGGUGGCUGAGAAUGGGAUGAUGCCAGGUUCACAUCUGUGCUCUUCCACGUCGCAGCUGUACGACCUUGGGUAUGUUCUCAUAACUCCUUGAGCCUCAGUUUUCUCAUCUGUGGAGUGACGCUGAAAAUCAUUCCUGAAUCACAGGGCUAUUGUGAUGAUUAAAUGAGCUGAUGCUUGUUGAGCUGAUGCUUGUUAAGUGUCUGGCACAAAGUAAGCCCUCAAUGAAGAUUAGUUCUGAUCACAUUGAAUGGGCAGGCAGUGGUCACUUGUUGUGCCUGAUCAUAAAUCACAGGGCAUUAGGACCUGACCGGACCUGAGUGGGCAUCUACCCCAAGGUCACAAACUGGAGGCCAUAGGCUGAUGCUGACUCACAGGACAUGUUGGGUUUGGCUCAUGCACUGUUUUUAAUUGUUUUGUUAAUUAUCAACAUUUAAAACUGAAAGGUUUAGACUUCCAGCUUCUCUUGGAAAAUAACUGCUUGCUCCCAAAGUUCAGCUGCUUAUUUCUAUCCAGAAAAUUAAUUGCAGCUUCCAGCUUCUCUUAGAAAAUGGGAGGAUCGGCCGUGCAUGGUGGCUCAUGCCUGUAAUCCCAGCACUUCGGGAGGGUGAGGUGGGCAGAUCACGAGGCCAGGAGAUCGAGACCAUCCUGGCUAACACGGUGAAACCCCAUUUCUACUAAAAAUACAAAAAUUAGCUGGGCGUGGUGGCACGCGCCUGUAGUCCCAGCUACUCGGGAGUCUGAGGCAGAAGAAUUGCUAGAACCUGGGUGGUGGAGGUUGCAAUGAGUUAAGAUCGCACCACUGCACUCCAGCCUGGGCAACAGGGUGAGACUCCGUCUCAAAAAAAUAAAAAUAAAAAAUAAAAAAAGAAAGAAAAAGAAAAAGAAAGAAAAUGGGAGGAUCUGGCUACUCUGGAGCUGCUGUUCUUAGAGCAGCUAUUGACUGGAGCUGAGAAGCAACAGCUUUUAAUGAGUAGCAGGUGAUCAGCCCACGUGCUUCCGCGGACGCAUUCCUGCCUGGCCACGCAGGCAUUCACUUUAAGAGCCCUGCCCAAUCUUCUCAUUUUACCAGUGAGGAUUCUGUCCCCCAACGACACUUAUCCAACCAAGGUCAUGUUCCUGAGCCUGGACCCUGGUUACUAACAAAAGCCAGCAUCCUUUGUCAGUAACCAGGGCCCUUGCCUGCCAUCUAACCUCACAUCAUGCAAGCUGUGGAGAAGGCCCAGUUUCCCUACCACGGGUUCUCCUCCUCUGAUCAGUCUAACUCUGUGUCUGGCACACAUCUGACAAGAGUUGAAGCAGAGUCCUAGGCUAUUUCCAGGACCAGUAACAGGACCCUUUGCCAGGUGCCCAACGUGGAUGGUGUCUGUCCUGUGCUCAGCUGUCACAGGAAAAGGUGGGAGGUUUGCCUUCUUCCUUCUCCGGCCUCCGCCGGUGUAGGCAUUAUAAAGAGGCCUCGGGGGCCACCUAGCAGCCAGCAGCGUCUCUACACAGGCCACUCCGUGUCCAGGCUGAGACCAUGUGCUUCCCAGCCUGUGACUGAACAUGGCAGUGGUACAAGGGCUCACCAUUUCUGGCCAGCACAGGACUUUCUGCU
rnacentral:lncRNA from 1 species